rnacentral:rRNA from 1 species
GACGAACGCUGGCGGCGUGCCUAAUACAUGCAAGUCGAACGCUUCUUUCCUCCCGAGUGCUUGCACUCAAUUGGAAAGAGGAGUGGCGGACGGGUGAGUAACACGUGGGUAACCUACCCAUCAGAGGAGGAUAACACUUGGAAACAGGUGCUAAUACCGCAUAACAGUUUAUGCCGCAUGGCAUAAGAGUGAAAGGCGCUUUCGGGUGUCGCUGAUGGAUGGACCCGCGGUGCAUUAGCUAGUUGGUGAGGUAACGGCUCACCAAGGCCACGAUGCAUAGCCGACCUGAGAGGGUGAUCGGCCACACUGGGACUGAGACACGGCCCAGACUCCUACGGGAGGCAGCAGUAGGGAAUCUUCGGCAAUGGACGAAAGUCUGACCGAGCAACGCCGCGUGAGUGAAGAAGGUUUUCGGAUCGUAAAACUCUGUUGUUAGAGAAGAACAAGGACGUUAGUAACUGAACGUCCCCUGACGGUAUCUAACCAGAAAGCCACGGCUAACUACGUG